rnacentral:tRNA from 1 species
GCGCUCAUAGUCCAAUGGAUAGGACAUCGGUUUCCGGAACCGACGAUUCCGGUUCAAGUCCGGAUGGGCGCU